rnacentral:rRNA from 1 species
UACAGAGGUCCCAAGCGUUGUUCGGAUUCACUGGGCGUAAAGGGUGCGUAGGUGGUGAGGUAAGUCGGAUGUGAAAGCUCGGAGCUCAACUCCGAAAUGGCAUUGGAAACUACCUUGCUCGAGGGUUGGAGGGGGGACUGGAAUACUUGGUGUAGCAGUGAAAUGCGUAGAUAUCAAGUGGAACACCAGUGGCGAAGGCGAGUCCCUGGACAACUCCUGACACUGAGGCACGAAAGCGUGGGGAGCAAACAGG